GGACACAACAAAGCCAGCAGGUUUCAGAGAGGACAAUGCUAAGAUGUCCUUGUUAACAUCUGGACCAAAGGAAGAGGAAGAGUCAUCUUCUUGGGAUUCGGAUUCGGAGGAGGAGACAAGAAAGCCAGCACGUUUAAGAGAGGAAAAUGCUAAGAUGUCCUUGUUAACAUCUGGACCAAAGGAAGAG